GGAUUCCCCUAGUAACUGCGAGUGAAGCGGGAAAAGCUCAAAUUUAAAAUCUGGCAGUCUUUGGCUGUCCGAGUUGUAGUCUGGAGAAGUGUUUUCCGCGCUGGACCGUGUACAAGUCUCCUGGAACGGAGCGUCAUAGAGGGUGAGAAUCCCGUCUUUGACACGGACUACCAGUGCUUUGUGAUGCGCUCUCAAAGAGUCGAGUUGUUUGGGAAUGCAGCUCAAAAUGGGUGGUAAACUCCAUCUAAAGCUAAAUAUUGGCGAGAGACCGAUAGCGAACAAGUACCGUGAGGGAAAGAUGAAAAGCACUUUGGAAAGAGAGUUAAACAGUACGUGAAAUUGCUGAAAGGGAAACGCUUGAAGUCAGUCGCGUUUGCUAGGACUCAGCCUUGCAUUCGCUAAGGUGCAUUUCCUAGUAGACGGGCCAGCAUCACUUUUGGCUGCGGGAAAAAGGUCAGAGGAAUGUGGCACCUUCGGGUGUGUUAUAGCCUCUGGCUGUAUACCGUGGCUGGGAGUGAGGAACUCAGCACGCCUUCAUGGCGGGGCUUCGGCCACCUUCGUGCUUAGGAUGCUGGCGUAAUGGCUUUAAACGACCCGUCUUGAAACACGGACCAAGGAGUCUAACAUGCCUGCGAGUGUUUGGGUGGAAAACCCGAGCGCGUAAUGAAAGUGAAAGUUGGGACCUCUGUCGUGGAGGGCACCGACGCCCGGACCAGACCUUCUGUGACGGAUCCGCGGUAGAGCAUGUAUGUUGGGACCCGAAAGAUGGUGAACUAUGCCUGAAUAGGGUGAAGCCAGAGGAAACUCUGGUGGAGGCUCGUAGCGAUUCUGACGUGCAAAUCGAUCGUCAAAUUUGGGUAUAGGGGCGAAAGACUAAUCGAACC
rnacentral:rRNA from 1 species